AGUGAACGCUGGCGGUAGGCCUAACACAUGCAAGUCGAACGGCAGCACAGUAAGAGCUUGCUCUUACGGGUGGCGAGUGGCGGACGGGUGAGGAAUACAUCGGAAUCUACUUUUUCGUGGAGGAUAACGUAGGGAAACUUACGCUAAUACCGCAUACGACCUACGGGUGAAAGCAGGGGAUCUUCGGACCUUGCGCGAUUGAGUGAGCCGAUGUCGGAUUAGCUAGUUGGCGGGGUAAAGGCCCACCAAGGCGACGAUCCGUAGCUGGUCUGAGAGGAUGAUCAGCCACACUGGAACUGAGACACGGUCCAGACUCCUACGGGAGGCAGCAGUGGGGAAUAUUGGACAAUGGGCGCAAGCCUGAUCCAGCCAUACCGCGUGGGUGAAGAAGGCCUUCGGGUUGUAAAGCCCUUUUGUUGGGAAAGAAAAGCAGCAGGUUAAUACCCCGCUGUUCUGACGGUACCCAAAGAAUAAGCACCGGCUAACUUCGUG
rnacentral:rRNA from 1 species